CUGUCAGAAUUCCAAAAGUGAGCCCCAGAGAAAGAAACAUGUCAUACUCAUUGUUGACAUUGAAAAAACGAAAUAGAGAACCAGGUUCUGCUUUGCAACUUCACUCUCCCCCAUGGGCCCCUGGCUAAAUAGAAAAUCCUGAAUCAAAGGCUGUAAGGACUGAAGCGGCAUGAGAAAAACACUUCUGAGCACCCACUCUAGCAUGUCAGGAAACUACAAAGAUGUAUAAAUAUUCUUAAUGAGUUUUA